GAACAGUUAAUAGCUGUGCAAGUAGAAGGCGAACACCAAGUUAUAUGCAGCCAAGAUGGAAAUUGACUUCACAGGAAAAACUGUGCUGGUAACUGGGGCUGGAAAAGGUAAAAGUAGCUUGACUUGCAGACUUAUUUACCUUUGUGUGUGGACUGAAAUAACAAUAGUAGACUUAAUACGAAGGGCCUAGGCUCGAAACAUCGAAGUUUUGCUUAUAUUUUUCAGGUAGUUGUAUAUCUUUCACACCAAAGUCCCGAUAAUGAGAGUACAGUUUAUGAGAGUUGGCAGUCACACGGAAUUGUUAUACGUAAAGAAAAUUUCAAGCUCAAGAUUGUGUUUGUUUCUAUGCAGGGACAUUUGGACAUGUAGAGGCAUAACAGAUAUAUAAACAAGAAAUGCAACUAAAAACAAUUUUAACACAUUUUAAAAGAAUUUGUUCGAAUAAUUUAGAAUAAAACGG